GAUGAACGCUGGCGGCGUGCCUAAUACAUGCAAGUCGAGCGAAUGGAUUAAGAGCUUGCUCUUAUGAAGUUAGCGGCGGACGGGUGAGUAACACGUGGGUAACCUGCCCAUAAGACUGGGAUAACUCCGGGAAACCGGGGCUAAUACCGGAAAACAUUUUGAACCGCAUGGUUCGAAAUUGAAAGGCGGCUUCGGCUGUCACUAAUGGCUGGACCCGCGUCGCAUUAGCUAGUUGGGGAGGUAACGGCUCACCAAGGCAACGAUGCGUAGCCGACCUGAGAGGGUGAUCGGCCACACUGGGACUGAGACACGGCCCAGACUCCUACGGGAGGCAGCAGUAGGGAAUCUUCCGCAAUGGACGAAAGUCUGACGGAGCAACGCCGCGUGAGUGAUGAAGGCUUUCGGGUCGUAAAACUCUGUUGUUAGGGAAGAACAAGUGCUAGUUGAAUAAGCUGACACCUUGACGGUACCUAACCAGAAAGCCACGGCUAACUACGUGCCAGCAGCCGCAGUAA
rnacentral:rRNA from 1 species